UUAAAUCGCAUCAUAUGACCCCUUUAAGAUAAAUCUGAAUGGUUGAGUAAUUGCGCUUUAAAAAUAUAUCUUGGGUAUUUGUGUCAUUUUUUAUGUUUUCUGUUUAUGGCUUUUCUAACGCUGUAAUCAGGAUGCUAUUUGCCAAGCAAUCCAGAAGCUAUCGUUCUCGAUAUCGACUACAAGUCAGGAACACCUAUGCAGAGCGCUGCUAAAGCUCCUUAUUUGGCAAAAUUCAAAGUGAAGAGGUGUGGAGUUAGCGAGCUUGAAAAAGAGGGUCUGCGCUGCCCGUCAGACUCUCAGGAUGAAGGUGAGGAGAAUUCAGAGACGGCUCAAAAGGUCUGCUGGCAGGCGGCCAUCUUUAAAGUGGGUGAUGAUUGCAGAC